rnacentral:rRNA from 1 species
UACGUAGGGGGCAAGCGUUGUCCGGAUUCAUUGGGCGUAAAGAGCGUGUAGGCGGCCAGGUAGGUCGGUUGUGAAAACUGGAGGCUCAACCUUCAGAGGUCGACCGAAACCAUCUGGCUAGAGUCCGGGAGAGGAGAGUGGAAUUCCUGGUGUAGCGGUGAAAUGCGCAGAUAUCAGGAAGAACACCCGUGGCGAAGCGGCUCUCUGGAAACGGUACUGACGCUGAGACGCGAAAGCGUGGGAGCGAACAGG